rnacentral:rRNA from 1 species
GGAUUAGUGGCGAACGGGUGAGUAACACGUGGGCAAUCUGCCCUGCACUCUGGGACAAGCCCUGGAAACGGGGUCUAAUACCGGAUACGAGUUUCACGGGCAUCCGUGAGGCUGGAAAGCUCCGGCGGUGCAGGAUGAGCCCGCGGCCUAUCAGCUUGUUGGUGAGGUAAUGGCUCACCAAGGCGACGACGGGUAGCCGGCCUGAGAGGGCGACCGGCCACACUGGGACUGAGACACGGCCCAGACUCCUACGGGAGGCAGCAGUGGGGAAUAUUGCACAAUGGGCGCAAGCCUGAUGCAGCGACGCCGCGUGAGGGAUGACGGCCUUCGGGUUGUAAACCUCUUUCAGCAGGGAAGAAGCGCAAGUGACGGUACCUGCAGAAGAAGCGCCGGCUAACUACGUGCCAGCAGCCGCGGUAAUACGUAGGGCGCGAGCGUUGUCCGGAAUUAUUGGGCGUAAAGAGCUCGUAGGCGGCUUGUCGCGUCGGUUGUGAAAGCCCGGGGCUUAACCCCGGGUCUGCAGUCGAUACGGGCAGGCUAGAGUUCGGUAGGGGAGAUCGGAAUUCCUGGUGUAGCGGUGAAAUGCGCAGAUAUCAGGAGGAACACCGGUGGCGAAGGCGGAUCUCUGGGCCGAUACUGACGCUGAGGAGCGAAAGCGUGGGGAGCGAACAGGAUUAGAUACCCUGGUAGUCCACGCCGUAAACGGUGGGCACUAGGUGUGGGGCGACAUUCCACGUCGUCCGUGCCGCAGCUAACGCAU